rnacentral:rRNA from 1 species
AUGAACGCUAGCGACAGGCUUAACACAUGCAAGUCGAGGGGCAGCACAGGUAGCAAUACCGGGUGGCGACCGGCGCACGGGUGAGUAACGCGUAUGCAACUUACCUAUCAGAGGGGGAUAACCCGGCGAAAGUCGGACUAAUACCGCAUGAAGCAGGGGCCCCGCAUGGGGAUAUUUGCUAAAGAUUCAUCGCUGAUAGAUAGGCAUGCGUUCCAUUAGGCAGUUGGCGGGGUAACGGCCCACCAAACCGACGAUGGAUAGGGGUUCUGAGAGGAAGGUCCCCCACAUUGGUACUGAGACACGGACCAAACUCCUACGGGAGGCAGCAGUGAGGAAUAUUGGUCAAUGGCCGAGAGGCUGAACCAGCCAAGUCGCGUGAGGGAUGAAGGUUCUAUGGAUCGUAAACCUCUUUUAUAAGGGAAUAAAGUGCGGGACGUGUCCCGUUUUGUAUGUACCUUAUGAAUAAGGAUCGGCUAACUCCGUGCCAGCAGCCGCGGUAAUACGGAGGAUCCGAGCGUUAUCCGGAUUUAUUGGGUUUAAAGGGGGCGUAGGCGGCCUUUUAAGUCAGCGGUGAAAGUCUGUGGCUCAACCAUAGAAUUGCCGUUGAAACUGGGGGGCUUGAGUAUGUUUGAGGCAGGCGGAAUGCGUGGUGUAGCGGUGAAAUGCAUAGAUAUCACGCAGAACCCCGAUUGCGAAGGCAGCCUGCCAAGCCAUUACUGACGCUGAUGCACGAAAGCGUGGGGAUCAAACAGGAUUAGAUACCCUGGUAGUCCACGCAGUAAACGAUGAUCACUAGCUGUUUGCGAUACACUGUAAGCGGCACAGCGAAAGCGUUAAGUGAUCCACCUGGGGAGUACGCCGGCAACGGUGAAACUCAAAGGAAUUGACGGGGGCCCGCACAAGCGGAGGAACAUGUGGUUUAAUUCGAUGAUACGCGAGGAACCUUACCCGGGUUUGAACGCAUUCGGACCGAGGUGGAAACACCUUUUCUAGCAAUAGCCGUUUGCGAGGUGCUGCAUGGUUGUCGUCAGCUCGUGCCGUGAGGUGUCGGCUUAAGUGCCAUAACGAGCGCAACCCUUGCCACUAGUUACUAACAGGUAAAGCUGAGGACUCUGGUGGGACUGCCAGCGUAAGCUGCGAGGAAGGCGGGGAUGACGUCAAAUCAGCACGGCCCUUACAUCCGGGGCGACACACGUGUUACAAUGGCGUGGACAAAGGGAAGCCACCUGGCGACAGGGAGCGAAUCCCCAAACCACGUCUCAGUUCGGAUCGGAGUCUGCAACCCGACUCCGUGAAGCUGGAUUCGCUAGUAAUCGCGCAUCAGCCAUGGCGCGGUGAAUACGUUCCCGGGCCUUGUACACACCGCCCGUCAAGCCAUGGGAGCCGGGGGUACCUGAAGUCCGUAACCGCGAGGAUCGGCCUAGGGUAAAACUGGUGACUGGGGCU